AUUGAACGCUGGCGGCAUGCCUAACACAUGCAAGUCGAACGAGUGGCGGACGGGUGAGUAAUGUCUGGGCACCUGCCUGAUGUAGGGGGAUAACUACUGGAAACGGUAGCUACUACCGCAUACCAUCAGAUGUGCCCAGAGGGGAUUAGCUUGGUGGUGGGGUAACGGCUCACAAGGGCGACGAUCCCUAGCUGGUCUGAGAGGAUGACCGGCCACACGGGAACUGAGAAACGGCCCAGACUCCUACGUGAGGCAGCAGUGGGGAAUAUUGCACAAUGGGCGAAAGCCUGAUGCAGCCAUGCCGCGUGUAUGAAGAAGGCCUUCGGGUUGUAAAGUACUUUCAGCGGGGAGGCGUUAUCCGCAGAAGAAGCACCGGCUAACUCCGUGCCAGCAGCCGCGGUAAUAC
rnacentral:rRNA from 1 species